rnacentral:rRNA from 1 species
UACAGAGGGGGCAAGCGUUAUUCGGAAUUAUUGGGCGUAAAGGGCGCGUAGGCGGCUUUGCAAGUGGCGGGUGAAAUCCCUCGGCUUAACCGAGGAACUGCCUGCCAGACUGUGAGGCUUGAGACCGGGAGAGGUGAGUGGAAUUCCCAGUGUAGCGGUGAAAUGCGUAGAUAUUGGGAGGAACACCAGUGGCGAAGGCGGCUCACUGGACCGGAACUGACGCUGAGGCGCGACAGCGUGGGGAGCAAACAGG